UACACAUGCAAGUCGAGCGGUAAGGCCCUUCGGGGUACACGAGCGGCGAACGGGUGAGUAACACGUGGGUGAUCUGCCUCGCACUCUGGGAUAAGCCUGGGAAACUGGGUCUAAUACCGGAUAUGACCUUACAUCGCAUGGUGUUUGGUGGAAAGAUUUAUCGGUGCGAGAUGGGCCCGCGGCCUAUCAGCUUGUUGGUGGGGUAAUGGCCUACCAAGGCGACGACGGGUAGCCGGCCUGAGAGGGCGACCGGCCACACUGGGACUGAGACACGGCCCAGACUCCUACGGGAGGCAGCAGUGGGGAAUAUUGCACAAUGGGCGAAAGCCUGAUGCAGCGACCCCGCGUGAGGGAUGACGGCCUUCGGGUUGUAAACCUCUUUCGACAGGGACGAAGGGCAAGUGACGGUACCUGUAGAAGAAGUACCGGCCAACUACGUGCCAGCAGCGCGUUAAUACGUAGGGGGCGAGGUUUUCCGGAAUUACUGGGC
rnacentral:rRNA from 1 species